AUAAUCCGCAUAGACAGAAUAAAAAGAAAAAAGGACGACCAGCUGAUAAAUACACGCUCAGUAAAAAUCACAGUUGAUGGAGCUGAACUCCCUAGGGUAGUACAACUCUACGGAGUACUGAUCAAACCCGAAAUAUAUAUAUACCCAAUCAGAAUCUGCAACAAUUGCUGGAGAAUAGGACAAGGCAAUAGCCUGCAAAAGUAAACAAAACUGUAAGAGAUGCGGAAGCAAUAUCACAAACGAACACCCGGGUUGUGACGAAAACGCACUAAUGAAAUGUAGGAAUUGUGGUAAAAAUCACUUACCUACCGACGCCCAAUGUCCGGAAAGGAAGAGAAGAGAACAUAUAAAUGCCGCAAUGGCAAUUAACAAAAUGACAUACACAGAAGCACAAGAAAUGUAUCCAAAAACUGAAAAUCAAUACUCGAUCCUGGAGUCUAUCGGUGAAUUCCCUAGCUUGGAACACCCAAAUAGCCCAAACCCCAAAUUUAGAUAUGUACACAAACAGUAUCCAAAAAUUGACUACACAAAAAUUGCCGAACGUCUUUCUAAACAGACAAAACCCCAACCAAUAACAAAAAACUCCUUCCCACAAGUAGAAAAAAUACUGGAACAAACCACGACCAUUAAAAACAACCCUCACGCGGUUUCGGACAUGGAACGCAUCCAAACUAUAGUCAAAGAACUUCAAAAAUCAUUCGAUCAAAUUCUACAAAAUAACAAAGUUGACAACGUCCCUAGUACAGACCUUUUAAUCAUCGAGAUCGGUUCUAUGAUACAAAACAUGCUACAAAAAAUAAACAUACGUAACCAAAAAGCAAUACAACAUGCACAACCGAACUAAUAAAACGGCCAAAUUUAACAAAACACUAAAUAUAUCUCAAAUUAACAUUCACAGCUUAAGACCGCUACACAAAAGAGAAAUCAUUAAAAAAUAUCUAAAAACCAACAAAAUUCUCAUUCUCUUGCUUCAAGAAAUAUGGAUCAAAGACUCAGAAAAAUACAAAUUCCUGGACUAUUCCUUCUUCAAAAAAUGUAGGGAGGAAGGUGGUGGAACAGGUAUCCUGGUACACCCAACGCUAAUAGCAGAAGAAAUUACCAUACCCAAUGUUGACCUAGAGAUGGUGGCAAUCAAAAUCAAAAACACUAAAACCCCGAUAAUUUUUAUCUCACUUUAUAUUCCACCAGAGAGCACAAUAAAUAAUAUCAGAAGACCCUUAGAAAACUUAUUCAACUUUAUACAGAACAACACAUUCCCAGUAAUGCUUGGAGGAGACUUUAACGCCCAUCACCCAAUUUGGGACACUAGGACAAACAAACCGGACAGAAGAGGAGAAAUGAUUAGUGACCUAUUAGACAAUCACAACAUCACUUUCCACAACACGGGAGAAGCCACUAGAUGGGCAGAUUUAAACUGUAACGAAACCGCAAUAGAUCUCACACUGACAACGCCAGACUUGGCCCCCAAGAUAAGCUGGGAAAUAAGCAACGAAAACUUAGGCUCAGACCAUAAACUCAUUGAAUGUAAAAUUAAUAACUACAACAAAAUAAAAACAGAUACUCCCUACUCGAUAAUUAGUAAGAACAAAGCAUUAGAAAACUUAAAUCAAAUCAACAUAAACAAAAUGGAAAAUGUAACGGAUCUUGAGACAGAAAUUAAAAAUGCAAUCAGCAAUGCUAAAUUCACAAUAUACCCUAAUAGCAAUAAAAAAAUCAAACCAUACUGGACAGAGAAGAUUAAAAAGCUUUACGAGACUAAAAAUAAAAACCACAUUGAAUUUAGGAAAAACCUUACACUUGAAAACAAGGAAAAAUUCAAAAAAGCCGAAAGACAAUUCAUUAAAGAAUUAAAAAAAGAAGUAAUGAAAUACAGAGAAGGAAAAAUUAACGAAAUUAAUGAAGACACAAAUUCAAGACAAAUGUGGAACAUAGUACGAUCAAUCUCAGAAUUCCUAGAUAAAAACUUUAAAACAGACAACAAUAGUAUAAUUGAACUGGAAACCCCGAAUGUGGACGAAAAUAGAUAUGCAGGCGACAUAAGCAUCGGAAAAAUGAUCAAAAUAAUCAACAGUCGAAAAGACUCAUCAGCACCCGGACACAACCAAUUAUCAUACUAUUUCCUAAAAAAAAUGAAACCAGAACUUUUACACAACAUACUAAAAAUGACAAACGAAGUCUGGAAAACUGAAAUUAUCCCAAACCAAUGGAAAAUCAGUAAAAUAAUCCCCAUACUGAAACCCAACAAAGACAAAAUGAAUGCAUCUUCAUACAGACCAAUAGCAUUAAUCAACGUAAACAUCAAAAUUAUAAACUGCGAAGUCAAAAAAAGACUCACAGAUUUCACCACAGAAAACAAUCUUAUUCCUAAGCUAUCUUUUGGCUUCAAAGAAAACUCAUCAACAAUAGACUGUAUCAACCAUCUAAACUCAACUAUUAUGCAAGCACAAAGAAACAAAAGGAUAGCAGCAACUAUAUUCAUCGAUCUUAACAAGGCUUUUGACUCGGUGGAUAUAAACAUACUAAUAAAAGAACUCGAUACAUUGAAAAUCCCAAAUAAAAUUCUAAGAUGGUUGAUUGAAUAUUUAAACGAUAGAACAAUCUCACUGGAAACAACGAAUGGAGAAAUAAUUAAAAAGACUAACAAAGGCUUACCGCAAGGGUGCCCCUUAUCACCCAUACUAUUCAAUCUAUACACAUCCAAAUUACACACAAUCACAACAGAGAAAGUCAUACUAGAACAAUUCGCGGAUGACUUCACAAUCACCGUACAGGGAGAAACACUAAAAGAAGUGGAAACGACAGCCAAUAUCGCGAUUACAAAAAUCAAACAACAACUAGAAUCUCUAAAAAUAACGUUAAAUCCGGAAAAAACAGCAAUCAUACUAUUCAACGCCAAAAAUGAUGAGAAAAUCACAGUAAACAUAAACGGAACGGAAAUAAAACAAGUAGAUCACCAUAAAUAUUUAGGAUACAUAAUAGACAAUAAACUAAACCAUUUAGCACACAUUAAUUACAUCACGAACAAAGCGAAAAAAAAACUAAACAUUCUGAAAGUCAUUUGUAAAAACAAAAUAGGAGCCCACCCACAAACGGCACUUAAAAUUAAUCAGGCAACAAUUCGAUCUCAACUCGACUAUGGAAUAACCAUAUAUGGAGGAGUAGCAAAAACAAAUCUACAGAAGCUAAACGCAACAUACAACGCGGGAAUCAGGACCUCAUUAAGAUUAAUUAAAUCCACGCCAAUAAACGUGCUACGUGAAUUACCUAUACAGGAAAGAGCGAAACUAUUAGCGAAAAAAGAAGCUAUCAAAAUAUAUGCCCAAAACAAACCAAUCAUAGACAUUAUUAGCAUAUUCACAGAACUUCCAAAAUUGCCCCCUAGACAUACCUUUCUGGAAAAAACAACUUUCGAAAACAACUAUCUCCUCAUUCAAACAAACGGUUGCGAAAUUACACUAGAAUCUAAACGAAAAAUAGAAACAACAGAAAACCUAAAAAUAGAAACAGAAAUCCAUAAUCUUAACAAUCAAAAUAUGAACCACAAUACAAUUAAAUUAAUAAGCAACGAACAUAUAUACAAUAAAUACAUAAAACAUGUCAAAAUCUUCACGGACGGUUCUAAAACUGCUAACAAAUGCGGGAUCGAAAUAUGGAUAGACGAAAUAGACUCGUUAAAUUGUAAAGUUAACAAAGAUCUAUCAAUAAUGAACGUAGAAUUAACGGCAAUAAAUACUGCAAUCGACGUAAUAAAUAACAGAAACGAAACACAAUUUGUCAUUUGCUCCGAUUCCAAAUCAGGACUGCAAUCUAUAAAAAAUAAAAAAGUCAAAAACAACUAUAUAAUACAAGAAAUAAUACUAAAACUUCAUGAGACAAAAAAGGACAUCACACUACAGUGGAUCCCAGGUCAUAAAGGCAUUUUCGGUAACGAAAAAGCUGAUAUGAUAUCAAAAGAAGGAUGCAACAGCACUAACACUAUUCACUCCAAACUGCCACUAGCAGACGCACUAAAUUUAGCCAAAGACGAAACCAUACAAGAAUGGUACCAUAUCUACGCAAACAUAUCACAGAACAAAGGCCAAAAACACUACAAACUUCUACCCAAACCUUCACUUAAACCUUGGUUCCAAAAGUAUCACCUUCAAACAAUCGAAAUCAUUCACAUAGGUAGACUGAGAACAUUUCACACCAUGACCAAAGACAAACUUUAUCAAUGGAAACUCAUCAAUAACGAACUUUGCGAAGAAUGCGGGGUAAAGGAAAACGUGGACCAUAUCUUAUUCGAAUGCACAAAAUACAUAGAAAACAGAUAUAAAUAUGAAUGCCUAUUAGCCCAUAAUAACACCAAGAACCUACUCAAGAAAACAGACACCAAAACAUACCGACAAAUAUCGAAAUUUAUUUCUUCAAAUCGAAUUCAAAUAUGAACCGCGUACACGGUUCUUUCACGAUCCAUACAUCAACAUAAAAAAACCCACCGAUAAGCAGCAAUGCUGCUACAACAUCGGUGCUCUUCUGUCAGUGCUGACAAAACACUAUAGAAAAACAAUCCGCGACGAUUAAAUAAAGGCGAAAUGAAGCCUAAGAAAAACUUCACGAUCUGACAACACUUGGCAGUAUAGUCUGACAGUUGGGGACUCGCCACUACCGUCAAGAAGAAGAAGAAGAAAUUCGAGUAAAAUGCCAAAAAUCUUCCGGCGUUUUGAAAUUGGUAAAUACUGUAUAGCUUCAACUUUCGUGCAUACGCUAUAUGCGCAAACAUGUCUGUAACACUGCACACUGAUUUCGGAGAUAUAAAAUUAGAACUUUUCUGUGAAGAAUGUCCAAAAACUUGUUUCAUUGUACAAACUGGCGAUCCCACCGGUACUGGUAAAGGUGGUCAGUCAAUUUGGGGACGAAAAUUUGAAGAUGAGUUCAAAGAAAAUUUGAAGCAUAACGAACGGGGUAUGAUUUCAAUGGCUAACAGUGGCC